CAGGUACCCCAGCUCAGAAUGGCUAUAGAGCAGGCUUUGGAGGGGGUGUGAAGCCCCAGAAGGCAGGCCCAGCAGCCCAGAAUGGAUUUGGAGCAGAAUAUGGGAAUGAGCUAAGAGCUGCGACCUUCCCUGGAACAGAAGCCCAGCCAGG